rnacentral:rRNA from 1 species
AACGAACGCUGGCGGCAGGCUUAACACAUGCAAGUCGAGCGCGUAGCAAUACGAGCGGCAGACGGGUGAGUAACGCGUGGGAAUCUACCUAUUUCUAGGGAAUAACUCAGGGAAACUUGUGCUAAUACCCUAUACGCCCGAAAGGGGAAAGAUUUAUCGGAGAUAGAUGAGCACGCGUUGGAUUAGCUAGUUGGUGGGGUAAAGGCCUACCUAGGCGACGAUCCAUAGCUGGUCUGAGAGGAUGAUCAGCCACAUUGGGACUGAGACACGGCCCAAACUCCUACGGGAGGCAGCAGUGGGGAAUAUUGGACAAUGGGCGCAAGCCUGAUCCAGCCAUGCCGCGUGAGUGAUGACGGUCUUAGGAUUGUAAAGCUCUUUCACCGGUGAAGAUAAUGACGGUAACCGGAGAAGAAGCCCCGGCUAACUUCGUGCCAGCCGCCGCAGUAA